rnacentral:rRNA from 1 species
CGCCUCUUGACAAACUAUAAGAGGUCCAGCCUGCCCAGUGACAAAGUUCAACGGCCGCGGUACCCUAACCGUGCGAAGGUAGCAUAAUCACUUGUUCUUUAAAUAAGGACUAGUAUCAACGGCACCACGAGGGCUAUACUGUCUCCUUUCUCCAAUCAGUGAAACUGAUCUCCCCGUGAAGAAGCUGGGAUUAAUAUAUAAGACGAGAAGACCCCAUGGAGCUUUAAACUCAUCAUACACCUCUGUUUAUCUACAUCAUCAUAUCCUAAAAGACUUGUAUGUUAGUUUUAGGUUGGGGGGACCGCGGAGUAUAAAUUAACCUCCACGACAAAUGGGCUAUGCCCUUAUCUAAGAACUACAGUUCUAAGAAUCAACAAACUGAUGUUUAAUGACCCGAAUAAUCGAUCAACGAACCAAGUUACCCUGGGGAUAACAGCGCAAUCUACUUCAAGAGCCCCUAUCGACAAGUAGGUUUACGACCUCGAUGUUGGAUCAGGGUAUCCCAGUGGUGCAGCCGCUACUAAAGGUUCGUUUGUUCAACGAUUAAAACCCU